AUGGUGGAGAGUCGAUAGCGGGUCCGUUCUCGCCGACGACUCGGAAAGACACGGAGAAAACGAGAGAUAACGAGAGCGGGGAGGAUGAGUGGCAGCAACAGAAAGGAAGGAAGAGCAGAAACUGGAUCAGAGAAACUGACCUGGUCCCUGCUGGAGCACCAUGUCUGAUAGAUCCUGUAGGUGGAUGAAGAGGACCAAACCUCCAGCACCAAACAGAAGAACAAACCAGAAGGAACAGGAAAGCUUCGGCCGAGACCCCCGACGUGACCCCCGUCUCCCUCUCACCGCCUCCAGCACUUUACAGUCCGCCCACAGCAUCUCUAUACACAACAGAAAAUGAAAGAGGGAGAGAGAGAGAGCGAAAGAGAGAGAGAUUUAAACCAUGUUGGUCGUGUAUCGAGCAGUCCUUUUCUCAUUUCUCACCCCAGUGUGGAGAAAGGACAGCUUUUUGUGUCAGACCGACUGCUACGGUUACGUCAAGGUGCCGACUCAGCUGCUGACUACACCGU